AUUGAACGCUGGCGGCAUGCCUUACACAUGCAAGUCGAACGGUAGAGGGGCAACCCUCGAGAGUGGCGAACGGGUGAGUAAUGCAUCGGAACGUGCCCAGUCGUGGGGGAUAACGUAGCGAAAGCUACGCUAAUACCGCAUACGACCUGAGGGUGAAAGCGGGGGACCUGCAAGGGCCUCGCGCGAUUGGAGCGGCCGAUGUCAGAUUAGGUAGUUGGUGGGGUAAAGGCCUACCAAGCCGACGAUCUGUAGCUGGUCUGAGAGGACGACCAUCCACACUGGGACUGAGACACGGCCCAGACUCCUACGGGAGGCAGCAGUGGGGAAUUUUGGACAAUGGGCGCAAGCCUGAUCCAGCCAUGCCGCGUGCGGGAAGAAGGCCUUCGGGUUGUAAACCGCUUUUGUCAGGGAAGAAAUCUUCUGGGUUAAUACCUCGGGAGGAUGACGGUACCUGAAGAAUAAGCACCGGCUAACUACGUGCCAGCAGCCGCCGUAA
rnacentral:rRNA from 1 species